AAAUAAUUCUUACACACAAUAUGACACCUUUUCAUGACAAGAAGAAGAAGAAGAAGAAGAUCACAAACUUUAUUGAAGUGAGCUUUAUGUGGUACUUAAUAUGAAGGUAACUAACUGUACACUGAAUAUGUCAACUGCUUAACUAUAUAAUACAUUAGAUGGUUUCAAUGUAGCUGCCUGCAUGUAGAAUAGAAGAUUUGAGGAAAUGGAGAAGCAAUUAUAUAUGUUAUCACAAUACAUUGCUCAGAGUUGGCAAUUUCCUCAAGACACCUGCGUGACCAUGUCAACACAAUCAGACAUGGAACAUGUGUGAAAUCCACAAGUUGCAAAGUGGAGGAUAAGAAUAAACAAGGCAUCCCUUCAAGGCAUUUAUUCAAUGGAACAUUCAAAUCAGGUUGCAGGGUUCCUAUUAGAGUGCAAAAGACUUAAUAUUGGCAACAUUGAAACAGGAGAAAAUCAGUGCUUAAUUACUGGGACAGCAGGCUGAUUAGGAAGAUUGGGGAGAUUUAAGUUACCACAUGGAGGAGAUAACAGGAGAUAUGGUUCCCAAGGUAUUAGACUAACAGCGGCAAUGGGAUUUCUCAUUUUGUGAAGGUAAGCUCAGAGCCUGUGAAGGUAAGCUCAGAGCCUGGCAGGCACUUUAGAUACUUGAUCCGAAGCAGUCUUUGUAGAAUUUUUCACCAGCAGUUAACCAGAUUGCAAUUUUUCUAGAUGUAGGUGAUACAAGCAGUUACCUUAAAGUUCGUCGAUUGAGGAAAUAUAUAGAAAUCCUCACUGUCAACUGCCAACCCUAAAAUGUAUCUACACAGAACCUUCACUAUAUUGGCCUUGAUGUAAAAUCAGAAGCCAGGAAUACAAAUUAUUUGCACUUAAAAACCCUAUACAUACAUAGAUACACAUUCAUUGUUGUAUUUGAGCUUUUCAAACAAAA
rnacentral:lncRNA from 1 species